rnacentral:rRNA from 1 species
GACGAACGCUGGCGGCGUGCUUAACACAUGCAAGUCGAGCGGUAAGGCCCUUUCGGGGGUACACGAGCGGCGAACGGGUGAGUAACACGUGGGUGACCUGCCCUCAGCUCUGGGAUAAGCCCGGGAAACUGGGUCUAAUACCGGAUAUGACUCCAUGACGCAUGUUGUGGGGUGAAAAGCCUUGUGCGGCUGAGGAUGGGCCCGCGGCCUAUCAGCUUGUUGGUGGGGUGAUGGCCACCAAGGCGGCGACGGGUAGCCGGCCUGAGAGGGCGACCGGCCACACUGGGACUGAGAUACGGCCCAGACUCCUACGGGAGGCAGCAGUGGGGAAUCUUGCGCAAUGGGCGAAAGCCUGACGCAGCGACGCCGCGUGAGGGAUGACGGCCU